UUAUGAGUUUCAUUUUCCUAUUUUACUUGAUAGUUCUUUUACCAUUUCUCUUUUCAGUUGUCUAUUUUCCUUUGAUAUAUUUUAUACCUGAUUUGUUAUUAUUAUUUUUGCAACUGUUUUAUACAUGAUUUAUAAAAGGACAAUACAAACGAUAAGGUGUUUUACCAUCAAAAGAUCACUAAUCAUAAAGAAAGAUUUUUAACCAAACCCAUUAAGUAACAACAUGUUUGAAUAAACCCUUUGUAAAAAAAAAAAAACAACAUGUUUGAAUACCCUUUAUAAAAUUACAUGUUAGCAAACAGAAAAAAAAGGAUGGGUUUAGCUGUUUCACUGGUUGACAAAAAAAAAAUUAAAGCAAAAACUUUCACUGUUGUCGUUGCUGAUUUGCAUGUGCGAGAGAGGGAGAGAGAGAGAGCAUUGGGCCAGACAGAAAAUACAAGUCCCCCGAGAGAUGCGCGCUACAAAAGGAGAGAUGGGACAUUUAUAGACGGACCCCAUCUUUUGUCAGAACUCUAUUCACAUCAUCAUCAAUUCAAAAUCAUUUAUUAUAAUAAAAAGUUAUUUGGAAACCAUUAUUUAUAAAAAUAGACAAAUUAACGAAUGGGAAUCCAAGACUCUUUUGGUGGGAUCG
rnacentral:lncRNA from 1 species